rnacentral:rRNA from 1 species
AGAGUUUGAUCCUGGCUCAGAACGAACGCUGGCGGCGUGGAUAAGACAUGCAAGUCGAACGCUUGUCACUUGGUAGCAAUAUUGAGUGGCAGGAGUGGCGCAAGGGUGCGUAACACGUGGAUCAUCUGCCUGGAAGUUCGGAAUAAUUCCGCGAAAGCGGGACUAAUGCCGGAUGUGGCUGAGAGGCUAAAGCUGGGGACCCGCAAGGGCCUGGCGCUUCCAGAUGAGUCCGCGGCCUAUCAGCUAGUUGGCGGGGUAACGGCCCACCAAGGCUAAGACGGGUAGCUGGUCUGAGAGGACGACCAGCCUCACUGGAACUGAGACACGGUCCAGACACCUACGGGUGGCAGCAGUCGAGAAUUUUUCUCAAUGGGCGAAAGCCUGAAGGAGCGACGCCGCGUGGGGGAUGAAGGGCUUCGGUCCGUAAACCCCUGUCAUUUGCGAACAAACCUUAUGAUUGAACAUUUCAUGAGCUGAUUGUAGCGAAAGAGGAAGGGACGGCUAACUCUGUGCCAGCAGCCGCGGUAAU